UACGUAGGGACCAAGCGUUGUUCGGAUUUACUGGGCGUAAAGGGCGCGUAGGCGGCAAUUCAAGUCAUCUGUGAAAUCUCCGGGCUUAACCCGGAACGGUCAGAUGAUACUGCUUUGCUAGAGUGCAGAAGGGGCAAUCGGAAUUCUUGGUGUAGCGGUGAAAUGCGUAGAUAUCAAGAGGAACACCUGAGGUGAAGACGGGUUGCUGGGCUGACACUGACGCUGAGGUGCGAAAGCGUGGGGAGCAAACAGG
rnacentral:rRNA from 1 species